rnacentral:rRNA from 1 species
CACCGCGGUUAAACGUGAGGCCCAAGUUGACAAAAAUCGGCGUAAAGAGUGGUUAAUAAAUACUAAACUAAAGCCAAACACCCUCCUUACCGCUGUGAAACGCACCCGAGGACAGGAAGAUCUUCAACGAAAGUGGCUUUAACACAAAUGAACCCACGAAAGCUAGAAAGA